GGGGGCGACAUGGCUUCGACGUGGGUCGCGAAACCUUCGGUGCAUGUCGAGGUGUAGAGUUCCUCGUAAAUCCAUCUACAAAAGUUAUAGUUGCAAACGACGAUAACUACGCUCUAGCAGCUUAGGCUAGCUAGCCUCUCACUCGGUUUAUCUAUGGGCUGAGAUUCGAGGGGUCAAAUUACAUAGAAUCGCAUCACCCUGUGUCUGUUAGGUCUGAUGUUAAAUUCAAGCAGACUCGCCAGUCUUGCGGUUUGUCUGUUGUCAGCAACCUGGUUAACUUAACAAUAGACUAAACAUGUAGAUCCGGUGGCAGAGGGCUUGCGGACGCGGGUUCGAUUCCCGCCGCCUCCACCA
rnacentral:tmRNA from 1 species